CUCAUUGCCCAACACCUGUUAUACAACAAAAUGGACAAAUAUAUCUCCACUUUCAUUCCAUCUGCCCAGAUUUACGCGUCUCUCUCUCUCUCUCUUGGUCUCUGGAUUUUUUAUUGAAAUUUCUGAAAACAAAAAUUCCCAAAUCUUUGAAUAAUCCUAAUAGGCUAAUCCCCAAUCUUUCUAUUCUUUUCCCUAAUUACCAUCUCAAAGGAGAUCGUCGGCCACAAAUAAGGAAGAAGAACAAGUGAAGUUUGAUGAGUUUCAGUCGGCUGUCGGCAACUCCUUCGAUAAUUCGAUUCGAACCCCAUUUUUAGCCAACAACUUAUUUCCUUCGAUUAUUGGUUAGUAAUUGUGG
rnacentral:lncRNA from 1 species